rnacentral:lncRNA from 10 species
GAAGUUCUGCUUUCUGUUCCCUGAUCAGGGACCAGAGAGGGGCAAAAUCUUCCUUUGAUCCUAACUCCCUAUUUUUUAUUUUUCCUCUCUCUUGAUCCCCUUGUCUACUUUUCAGAUUUAGCCUCACCUUGUAAGUGCUUCCUUUCUGAGGUGUAGGUAAGAAAGAUUGAGAUUCCAUCCGCACGAGACAAACCCAGCAGUUCGGAGCAGUCAAGACAGGUUGGAGGAACAAAGGAAGGAGGUCAUGUUACCAGUUUCUAAGGCUUGGGGUCAUCUGGAAGAAGCUGGAAUCACAGUACAGGUGGAAUGGAAGUGCAAUGGAAGAAGUGGAACCACAGUGAAGCAUGUUCCAGAAGGCCAGGGCGGUCGGUUCUGCUGCACAAAUGAGGUCAGAGCAAUCAAGAGAGCCAAGGAAGUCCUACUUAUCUGGAUUAAAUAACUCAAUCUACAAACUACUCAACUUUAAUAUAAGGUGGAAAAUAGGAUUUCAAAAGAAAAGAAGAAGGAGAAGAACAAGGACAAGAAACUGAGUUUUGGCAGAAGGCAAGUGAGCAAUUAAAAAUAAAUCUUUCAUGAUUUGCUCCCACAGGCAAAAAAUAUAA